rnacentral:misc_RNA from 1 species
GGUUCGCCUGAGGAUUGGCAACGACCUCAAAGAGUACCUGUAAACCUCUCUGCACUGCACACACACACACACAGAGUUGACCACGUACGCACAGGCGCACUCGUUGCCGUCGCGGUGGACUGUGGUGCGGGCGUCUUUCUCAACAAGGGGAAGAGUUUCGGAGCAGGGCAUCGCGCGUAGGACGUGACUACGCCUCUCCCCACGCAGCAUCGUACCUGCGAAUCACCUGCGCUUCUUAAAACAUUCCUCCGCUCUGGUGACUAAAGCAAGCCAUGCUCGGGAGGAAAGGGCACUGGCAGGCUGUGCUGUGCAUUCGGCGCCCUCGCUUCCUCACGGGAGGGUUUCAUCCCUCUCCUCCGUCCUCACUCCAGCGUGCGCAGGCACUCUGUCUCGACUCAGCGGCUGCAACGGCCGCACAUGAGUCACUGGCGCAGUCACCUGCUUUAGCGGAGGUGGACAUCAUCCACUCAACCACCUCCCUCGCCGUCGUGCUGGCGGCGCCGUCCGCGAACGUUCUGGCGACGCGCACAAAGCCGGCGACGCCUACACAGGAGGCGCUGCGCGACGCGCUCGGCACGCGGGACGCGUACCGCAUCUUUUGCGCGCUUGUACGUGAGCAGCAGACGGCAGUCGGUGCGCCAUGCAGUGAGCUGGAGCGCCUGCUCUCCAACAUCGAGGGGGAGGCCGAUUCAUUCGCGGCAGCGGCAUGCGCUUGUGUGGCGGUGGCGCUGAGUCCGUCGGAUUGGCCGCCCUGGGUGUCGGCACGCUUUGCUGCUACUGGGACGGCGGCGAUGCCGAUUGCACACAGACGUGCACCGGUGGACACGGGGAAGGCGACAGGCGCCGGUGAGGCAGCCAAGGAAGUUAGAGACGUCUGGGCGGCGGCGUCGCCGCUGCGUGUCACGGCCGCGGGCAUCCUGCGCUGCAUUGCUGCCCGGCUUCCCACCCAAGACGCGUGCCGCUCGGCGUCAUCGCCUUGUCUGCCUUUGCUCAAGUGGCUCACGCUCCUCUGUGGGGUGGCACUGGCGCCGUCGUCCAAGACAGCGCUGCGCCUCGCGGCUGAGGUCAGUUGCGUUUCUCUCGACGCCGCUGGCGUGGCCCUGGCCGCGUUCUGCGCGUCUCACUCGUUGACUGCCGAGCGUAGCAAGGGCGACGGCGGUUCCUUCGCUGCAGGCCACACUCGGGAGACCUGGUGGCUGUCGCUCUGGACGCAGCUUACCCAACCCGGUUCUCAGCCGCCGUCGCUGCCCCCCUUCUCGCUCGACGCCGUGUCCGCCUCGCCAGCUGUGGUGGUGUGGUCCAGCGGCCUCAUGUCCGCUGACCUUCGCGAGAAGCGCGUUUCGUGGCAUCUGCACUGUCUCAUCGCGUCGAAGGAGGCACACAGUGCGGCGCGACUCUUGGCUGGCGCAUGCCGCGAUACAUCAAAAGCGCCGCGCGGUGCCACCAUUCCUGUCCUGGCGCCCACACAGGCGGAGCUCCUCUCCUCUCUCCCACCUCAGCUAUUGGAGGAGGGCCGCCUAGGUGAGAAGCUAGCUAUGAAUCUAGUGGAGCACCUUAAGCACAUGCAGUCGCGGCCACGGCGGCCUUGGAGUGGCUCACCACAGUCCCUAUCGUUUGUGCCGACCGUUGCAGCGAACGCUGUCUUGUACGCACGCAUGCUGCAAUACCUCCUGACCUCCAGCGCGCAAGUGCGCAGCAGGGACAGCUAUGUGCAUUAUCUUCACAAUCUGUCACUGCUGCUGUCCCAGAGCAGCAUCUACGCGCUGGCGGCGUCGUUGGUUCCGGCCGAUCAGCCCUUAAAAACCGUCAUGGUGGCUGCCAAAGACACGUAUCGAGAAGGUCACAUGAAGCAGCUCGUCGGUGCUGUGCGCCAGGUCGUUGAUUCUCUCUGUGAAGAGCCCAUCCCUCGCUUGGCCGCUCCGGCGGCCACCGACGCCGUCACUGAAAAUGGCGUCGCCUCCACGCGGAGGGCUCUGAAGACUGGCGCAGCGCUCUCCUCCGGCGGCGUGGCACCGCCGAAGGGCAAGAGGGAGUGUAAGGCGGCGAAGCUGGUGGAGGAGAAGGCUCUCCUCGAUCGUGCAGCGGCCAACUCGAGCGGUGCCGCGUCGUGGCGCUGGCGUGAGGAUGCACUAUCGGAAGUGGACGGCACGGUGCAGGCGGCGGUGCGUCUCCUCACGUCGCUCUUGGAGCUGUGCUCCAGCCGCAAGAACAGCCUCCCGCUGCGCGUUGCCGAGCCGAAGUGGCGUCGAGAGUUGCGUGAGCGAACCGCCGUGCGUGCACACAAGUUUGAGCUGCUCCUCCAGGAGCUCCCACACGCGGAGCUGCGCGCCGUGUUGCAAACCCUCCUAGGGCAUGGUUACAUUCGAGAGGGCAGUCAACUGGGGGUUUCGUUGGUGAAAGGCGAUCAGGUGGAUCUGCGAUACUACACCUUACCCUUGCUCGGGUCGCUUUACUUGGCGGUGUGUGCCCCGCCAGGUUCCCAGACACCUGCCCAAGUCGUAGCUUCGAGCACGUCUUCCCUAUCGUUCAGUGCACCACCCUUUGCCGGCGCAGAGGCUGUGACUGAGUCGGAGAAGCAAGCGGUCUACCGGAUGUACCGGCGGCGGCUCGAGAUCUACGGCAAUGCUGAUGUCAACGUCACUGCACCCUCGUACGCGCCCGCUAGAGACCGCCGCGGAUGCGGCGGUGUUGAGGGUGAGCAUCACGACGGCGUUGCUGCGCCGACCCGCCACGACUCGGAGGGCUCUGCGGCUGCGGCAACCACUGCACUUGUACGCACCCCUGAGAACAAACUUGUUCAGGCACUGGUGCUCGCCAGCACGCGCCCCGCGACGACUCUCGCUAGCUACGCGACGGCCGAACUCGCAAACUGCUUGCUGAACCGCCGCGUCGAUGUGGCGGGGAGGGGCAUGGUGGUGGACGUCGGGUCUGCUGGAAUUUCCCAGGACCACUCUACCGGCAGAGGUACAGGCGCCGUGUUCGGCCCGUGGCUUCGCACAGGGGUGGUGACAUGGUGACAAGAAAGCCAUGUCGCUCUUGAGGGCAGUCGAGGGAGGGGAGGGAGGGAGGGAGGGGUGGGGCGAACGAGGUCAAGCGAGGGGCUUUCGUUUCGUGCUCACGCGUAUGUGUGCGCAUAGAAGCACGGGCGUUAUACGUUGCCUCUGCUUCGCAUCCCGACACUCUCUCCUCGCCGCAGCACGUGACAUGUUCCGAGUGUGGUCACCCACUUCAUCCGUCUUCUUAUUAACAUGAUGUGCCUGUCUCUCUGUUUUUCUCUGUUGUGUGCUGUGUGUGUCGGUAUUGCCGCUCCUGGUUCUCGCUGUCCCUUUUUUUGUUUGGCUGCUUCCGCACAUGCAGCCCCCUUCUUCCUUUCUUGCUACCCACUGCGCUGCCCAGAAAAGCUUGCAUACCGCACGGCAGCGCUGCCAUGGGUUUUUUUUUCGACACUGCGUCCUCCCCCUUCCCCCUUUCCACACACACACACACAUACAUACACGCAUACACACAGUGCGCUGCUUCUGUGCUGAUUGUGCUCUCGCGAAGAGCGUUUUUUUCAUUUGCGCCAUGGGUCUCCGUCUAGAGGUGCUGUGCUACGUCGUGUCUGUGCGCUCCGCUCUUGCUCUAUCCUUUUGUUUUAAGCGCUGUUAUGUACCUCGCUACCGUACACGCCUCUCCCUCUCCCCCCUCCCCUUCGUGCCUCCCCAUCUCUUGUGUGCACGCGUGUUUCUCUGCUGCCUCGAUUGGAUUGCUCCGGCCUGAAGCUCAUUCUCUUUCUUAGGCCUUUUUUUUCCGCUUCGAGGGAGGGGAGAAGUGGUGGUUUCAGUGAAGAGCCGAGGAUGGCGCAGCUGUAGAUGGCUGAAGGGGGGGGGGGAGGCGGGAGAGGCGCACGGCGACGUCGAGGCACUCUCUGUCCUCUUGCUUUUCUCGUGCGCUUCUGUCGUCUUGCCGUGGCCGCAGGAUGCGAAUGGCCGUGACCGUGAGGCCGUCCAGUAGCGCCUCGCCGAAGAGCGCGUAAGCCGCAUAACAAAGUAACCACACCGUCUCUCGCGCGGCCGAGG